rnacentral:rRNA from 1 species
UACGGAGGGUGCGAGCGUUGUUCGGAAUCACUGGGCGUAAAGCGCGUGUAGGCGGUCCGGUAAGUCCGCUGUGAAAGUCGGGGGCUCAACCCUCGAAUGCCGGUGGAUACUGUCGGGCUAGAGUGCGGGAGAGGCGAGUGGAAUUCCUGGUGUAGCGGUGAAAUGCGCAGAUAUCAGGAGGAACACCAAUUGCGAAGGCAGCUCGCUGGGACGUUACUGACGCUGAGACGCGAAAGCGUGGGGAGCAAACAGG